GAUGAAGAACGUAGCGAAAUGCGAUAAGUAAUGUGAAUUGCAGAAUUCAGUGAAUCAUCGAAUCUUUGAACGCACAUUGCGCCCGCCAGUAUUCUGGCGGGCAUGCCUGUCUGAGCGUCAUUUCAACCCUCAAGCAACUUCUGCUUGGUGUUGGGGAUCGGCCGUCAAACGCCGCCCCCGAAAUCUAUUGGCGAUCUCGCUAUAGCUUCCUAUGCGUAGUAGUAACAUCUCGCAUCUGGAGAGCGGCGCGGUCAUGCCGUAAAACACCCAACUUCUCAGGUUGACCUCAGAUCAUGUAGGAAUACCCGCUGAACUUAAGCAUAUCAAUAAGCGGAGGA
rnacentral:misc_RNA from 1 species